CAGCAGCAGUUCAAAGGAGAAAUUGGAGUGACAGAAAGCGGCGUUGAAGAAGAAGCUCGGAAGUGGUAACGGCGUCAGAAGAAGAAAAAGCAGUACCAGCAGCAGUUCAAAGGGAAGUCUCUGCUGCAACGGAUACGGCAGUGGUAAUGACGUCGGCGUCGGCGGCGGCAGCGGCGGAAACGGCAGCCGGAAUGGCGGCGAAAAUGGAGGUGAAAAACCUAGGGUUUCAUAGCCACUCUCUCAGCUAACUCAACGCUUCUCAUUUUGGAGAAAGAGAAAAUGAGCUUUUGUUUUAAAAUUAUGAAUUUUAAUGAAUUAUAGGUGGAGGUUUUUUAAAUUGCCAUCAAUAAAAUACAUUGUGGAGGUUUUUAAAAACCUUCACUAAAAUACUCCCUCAAAUAAAUAUUAAUCUUGUAGUGUUUGCGUUAAAUUAUGCGAUUGCUUCAUCGAGUCCAUGAGGCUUAUUCUAAAGCAGUGAAGACCGCUAUUGUGGAUCAUCAUGUUGUAUGAUCUGUAUCUAAGAUGCGAUUUUUUCAUUUCAUUGUCUUUUUUUCCAUCUAAUUCCAUUUUGUCUUUGUUAAUAAGUAUAGCCUUACUACGAUAUCAUACUAUUGCAGGCAGUGUGGAUAGUAGUCUCCUGUUAAAGCUUCCUUUCAGCACUAUAUUUGAGUAUCUUCAGAUAUUGCAAAUAAUUUCAAAGCCAAUGAAGGAUAUUGGCCCACGUGCAAUGUUCUAUCUGGCUGUUGCAGUAUCUGACUUUUAUAUUCCUUGGAAGGACAUGGUAUAAAAUUGACAUGAUGGUUCUUUCCAUGAAAGUUUCAUCCCUUAUUAACAUCAAUUUUGGCUUGAAUAAUUUUGUAAUAUGUUAAGAUACAAGAAUAUUAACCAUGUCAAUUUCAACAUAUGUGCUAGAGUUAGUUAUUAUUUAGAGAAUUAGCAUACAGAUAACACUGCAUAACU